GAUGAAGAACGUAGCGAAAUGCGAUAAGUAAUGUGAAUUGCAGAAUUCAGUGAAUCAUCGAAUCUUUGAACGCACAUUGCGCCCCCUGGUAUUCCGGGGGGCAUGCCUGUUCGAGCGUCAUUACAACCCUCAAGCUCUGCUUGGUAUUGGGCCCCGCCAGUUCUGGCGGGCCCUAAAGUCAGUGGCGGUGCCUUCCGGCUCCGAGCGUAGUAAUUCUUCUCGCUCUGGAGACCCGGUUGUGUGCUUGCCAACAACCCCCAAUUUUUUAAGGUUGACCUCGGAUCAGGUAGGGAUACCCGCUGAACUUAAGCAUAUCAAUAAGCUGAGGA
rnacentral:misc_RNA from 1 species